rnacentral:rRNA from 1 species
AUGCCGACCAUCAUCAUCAAGGUAGACCUCGACUGCGGCCGCUGCCACGCCAAGAUCAGGAAGGUGCUCGAGAGGAUCAGAGAGAAGGGCGAGUUCAUCAUCGACGACAUCAAGUACGACGAGAAGAAGAACCACGUGAUCGUGUCGGGCCCCUUCGACGCCGACAAGCUGGGCGACAAGCUCUGCUGCAAGGCCUGCAACAUCAUCAAGGAGAUCGAGACCGUCGAGCCGCCCAAGAAACAGGAUCCCGAGCCUCCGCCGGCGACGGACAAGGUGAAGCCCCCGGGCCCGGGUAAGGAUGAGACGGUCAAGGUGAAGCAACAGCCGCCGCCGCCGCCGCCGCCGCCGCCCAAGAUUGUGGAGGUGCCGGUGCCGUACCCGUGCCCCUACCCCUACCCGUUCCCGGCGGGGCCGUCCGGCUGCUGCUGCCACCAGGGACACGGCGGUUGCCAGUGCUGGCAGAACCCUCCGCCGCCGUCGUAUCCGUGCGGCGGCUACAUGAUGGUCUGCGAGGAGGACCCGUCCGGCGCCUGCACCGUCAUGUGA